rnacentral:rRNA from 2 species
AGUUGCGAUCAUUCCAGCACUAUGCACCGGAUCCCAUCAGAACCCCGCAGAUAAGCGUUCUUGGGCGAGAGUACUAUUACGAUCGGUGACCUCUUGGGAAGUCCUCGUAUUGCACCUC